CACAGACUUCUCUAUUAGCUAGAUAGCAUAGCAUGGUUGCACUGAAUUCCUGGCUGUGCAGCAUGUGCUUGUUUCCAGCUAUGCUUUCAUUUAAAUAAUGGAGAAAGCAUCAUAUGUAUAUAGUUCAACCGGAUGACAUAGAAAAGGUGACCCCACCUUGGUGUUAGUGUAGGGUUCACAGAGUAUUGCACUGGGCUUAGCUCCAGUUGUUUCUUGAACACCCCUGCUAAUGCUCUCUUGACAUCCACUUGUGAG